GAUGAACGCUGGCGGCGUGCCUAAUACAUGCAAGUCGAGCGAACAGACGAGGAGCUUGCUCCUCUGACGUUAGCGGCGGACGGGUGAGUAACACGUGGAUAACCUACCUAUAAGACUGGGAUAACUUCGGGAAACCGGAGCUAAUACCGGAUAAUAUAUUGAACCGCAUGGUUCAAUAGUGAAAGACGGUUUUGCUGUCACUUAUAGAUGGAUCCGCGCCGCAUUAGCUAGUUGGUAAGGUAACGGCUUACCAAGGCAACGAUGCGUAGCCGACCUGAGAGGGUGGUCGGCCACACUGGAACUGAGACAGGGUCCAGACUCCUACGGGAGGCAGCAGUAGGGAAUCUUCCGCAAUGGGCGAAAGCCUGACGGUGCAACGCCGCGUGAGUGAUGAAGGUCUUCGGAUCGUAAAACUCUGUUAUUAGGGAAGAACAAAUGUGUAAGUAACUAUGCACGUCUUGACGGUACCUAAUCAGAAAGCCACGGCUAACUACGUG
rnacentral:rRNA from 1 species